AACUGAUUAGAAGCUUGCUUCUAUGACGUUAGCGGCGGACGGGUGAGUAACACGUGGGCAACCUGCCUGUAAGACUGGAAUAACUUCGGGAAACCGAAGCUAAUACCGGAUAGGAUCUUCUCCUUCAUGGGAGAUGAUUGAAAGAUGGUUUCGGCUAUCACUUACAGAUGGGCCCGCGGUGCAUUAGCUAGUUGGUGAGGUAACGGCUCACCAAGGCAACGAUGCAUAGCCGACCUGAGAGGGUGAUCGGCCACACUGGGGCUGAGACACGGCCCAGACUCCUACGGGAGGCAGCAGUAGGGAAUCUUCCGCAAUGGACGAAAGUCUGACGGAGCAACGCCGCGUGAGUGAUGAAGGCUUUCGGGUCGUAAAACUCUGUUGUUAGGGAAGAACAAGUACAAGAGUAACUGCUUGUACCUUGACGGUACCUAACCAGAAAGCCACGGCUAACUACGUGCCAGCAGCCGCGGUAAUACGUAGGUGGCAAGCGUUAUCCGGAAUUAUUGGGCGUAAAGCGCGCGCAGGCGGUUUCUUAAGUCUGAUGUGAAAGCCCACGGCUCAACCGUGGAGGGUCAUUGGAAACUGGGGAACUUGAGUGCAGAAGAGAAAAGCGGAAUUCCACGUGUAGCGGUGAAAUGCGUAGAGAUGUGGAGGAACACCAGUGGCGAAGGCGGCUUUUUGGUCUGUAACUGACGCUGAGGCGCGAAAGCGUGGGGAGCAAACAGGAUUAGAUACCCUGGUAGUCCACGCCGUAAACGAUGAGUGCUAAGUGUUAGAGGGUUUCCGCCCUUUAAUGCUGCAGCUAACGCAUUAAGCACUCCGCCUGGGGAGUACGGUCGCAAGACUGAAACUCAAAGGAAUUGACGGGGGCCCGCACAAGCGUGAGCCAUGUGGUUAAUUCGAAGCAACGCGAAGAACCUUACCAGUCGUGGACAUCCUCUGACAACUCUAGAGAUAGAGCGUUCCCCUUCGGGGGACAGAGUGACAGGUGGUGCAUGGUUGUCGUCAGCUCGUGUCGUGAGAUGUUGGGUUAAGUCCCGCAACGAGCGCAACCCUUGAUCUUAGUUGCCAGCAUUUAGUUGGGCACUCUAAGGUGACUGCCGGUGACAAACCGGAGGAAGGUGGGGAUGACGUCAAAUCAUCAUGCCCCUUAUGACCUGGGCUACACACGUGCUACAAUGGAUGGUACAAAGGGCUGCAAGACCGCGAGGUCAAGCCAAUCCCAUAAAACCAUUCUCAGUUCGGAUUGUAGGCUGCAACUCGCCUACAUGAAGCUGGAAUCGCUAGUAAUCGCGGAUCAGCAUGCCGCGGUGAAUACGUUCCCGGGCCUUGUACACACCGCCCGUCA
rnacentral:rRNA from 1 species